CACGUAGGGGGCGAGCGUUGUCCGGAAUCAUUGGGCGUAAAGAGCUCGUAGGCGGCUCAAUAAGUCGGGUGUGAAACCCCCAGGCUCAACCUGGGGACGCCACCCGAUACUGUUGUGGCUAGAGUCCAGUAGGGGAGUGUGGAAUUCCCGGUGUAGCGGUGAAAUGCGCAGAUAUCGGGAGGAACACCAGCGGCGAAGGCGGCACUCUGGACCACAACUGACGCUGAGGCGCGAAAGCUAGGGGAGCAAACGGG
rnacentral:rRNA from 1 species